rnacentral:rRNA from 1 species
GUGGGGAAUAUUGGACAAUGGGCGAAAGCCUGAUCCAGCCAUGCCGCGUGUGUGAAGAAGGUCUUCGGAUUGUAAAGCACUUUAAGUUGGGAGGAAGGGCAGUAAGUUAAUACCUUGCUGUUUUGACGUUACCGACAGAAUAAGCACCGGCUAACUUCGUGCCAGCAGCCGCGGUAAUACGAAGGGUGCAAGCGUUAAUCGGAAUUACUGGGCGUAAAGCGCGCGUAGGUGGUUUUGUAAGUUGGAGGUGAAAUCCCCGGGCUCAACCUGGGAACUGCCUCCAAAACUGCAUGACUAGAGUACGGUAGAGGGUAGUGGAAUUUCCUGUGUAGCGGUGAAAUGCGUAGAUAUAGGAAGGAACACCAGUGGCGAAGGCGACUACCUGGACUGAUACUGACACUGAGGUGCGAAAGCGUGGGGAGCAAACAGGAUUAGAUACCCUUGUAGUCCG